rnacentral:lncRNA from 1 species
AUUCCUCACAAUAAGAUAGAAGUUGGCGUGAGUUGUAAAAUGUCAUUUUAUUUUCCAGCCGGUAGUUACAUCCGAUUAGCCUUAGUUGGAAAAUUAGAACUGGGUGUCCUUCAUCAGUAAUUGUUUCAUUAAACUUGACUUUGUUGCUUCAUUGACUUUAAAGCGUUUGCGUUUGAUUUCCGAUGGAACUAUUUUAUAUAAAUAUUUCUUGCGGUCUUGUUCUAAUUUUUACGUCUUGGAACAGUUGCCCUUUGCUUGACCAAGCAUACCUAUGUGCUUCGCUUGCAAUUUGUUUCCUUGUUUAGUCAUUGGAAAACCCUUAAUUAAUUUUGUGCUUAUGCUUAUAGUUCAGGUAGUUUACUUGUUCCUUUUAGAACACUUAUUUAUCAUCUCAGCUAACUGGUUGUACUACACUACAAUCCAUCAUCUUGCUGCUUGGGUUGACACAGAGUUAUCACUUGUUUUUCAUGUGACAUACUUGUACUGAUUAAGUUAUAUUAGGAGAGAGAACUUUGCACUUGAUAGGGGUGGUAAUUACGAUAAGACUCCCGUAACAUCAGCUGACGCCCUGCGCCUCUGACAGACUGACAACACUUGGCUAGCAUGGGCCAAAACGCCAACCGAGGCCCAUUAACGACCGCUCAGGCUCGCCUCCUCACGACACGCCGAUCGCAAUGUCAGACACCAUCAGAUGUACGAUCCUACUCCCUGCGGACAUGCGCUCCAGGUAACGCUAAGCUCCUAUAUAAAUACCCCCGUGUUCUAAGCAAAAAAGAAAGAGAAAAAGAGAUCACGCCACUCCACAUCACUAACUUGAUCGUCGGAGAGGUCGGGUCGAGCUUCCGACCCGACCCGUGUGCAGGACCAGAGACGAGGCGCCUCACACUAGGCGCGCAGGCGAAGGGCACCCAGGAGACGUUUGGGCAAUUCCCUGACAUUCAGACUCGAACCAAGCCACGUCGGCCCGAGGCCGCGGCUUAAAGGUGUUUACACUAACAACACUGAUUAAGAUAUAUUGGAAGAGAGAACUUCCUGCUGUGGGGGAAUUCUCUCGAACUCUCAAAAAUUUUGGGGAGAUCAACAAUUAAGGAAUAGAAAAUAUUUGAUAUUUUUUUGUUUGUCUGUCUAUAGAGAAAAUUAAGUUCAUCACUAGAUCUCUUAUAGUAAAAAAAAACCCACUUAAAGUGUCUCUUUGUAUCUCUAUUUUACUAAGAUCUUGAGAUAUGUAUUUAUAGUAAUAACUCUUAAUUUAUUAAAAAAUUUUAAUGUAAUUAGAACUUCUUCAACUUGUUUGAAUUUAAUUGGUACAUAAAAUAUUUAUCAAUCCUAAUAAUCUUCAUAUUUAUGAGGAUUUUUUUACUUUUUACCUACGAAAAAUCGGGAAGCACCUAAAUAUUUUUCUUUUGCCUCUCUUUUAUUAAGACUUUAUGCUAUAAUACACCGUGUAUUUACCGCAUAAAGUCCUAAUUCACUAACUAGUUUUGAAUUUAAUUGACACAUGUAAAAUAUUUAUCAAACCUAAUAAUCUCCAUAUUGAUGAGUAUAUAUUUUUUUUUACUUUAUUCCUUCGACCUUCUUUUUGAGAAAAAUUCAGAAGCACCUAAAUAUUUUCCUUUUUCCUUUCUUUUACUAAGACUUUAUAUAUUAUAAAUACACCAUGUAUUUAUCACAUAAAGUCCUAAUUCACUUACUACUUUCUUUUUGAAUUCCUAAUUAAUCCUAAUCCUCUAAAAACUUAAAUCUAAAUAGUACUUCAAAUAAUUUGAAUAUAAUCAGUAUUCCUAAAUAAUUACCAACCUUUAUAAAAUAAUAUGAUAACUUUAUCAUUUAAGACGAUAAAUAUGGAUUAAAGUUAGUUCCUAAUAAGCUAUCUUAUUAUCGAAUGUUCUUCCUAUUUAUACAUAUUAGGAGAAAGAAUUUUCCUCAACAAAGUAGUUUGAUUUUUUCAUACAAUUGAAAAAAUCUUAUCUGCUAUCAUGCCCCUGCAAGAUAAUGUUCCUGUCGAAGAUGUCGAUCUUCACCAAAGGCCACACUUGGGGCGUUGUUAUAAUGCAAACUGGAUCCAACGAGAGGCAAACUGGAUCCAACGAGAGGCAAACUUGCUCCAAGCAAAAUAUAAGAUGUAUUUUGCAUUGAAAUUUAUUGAAUAUUUUCUUAUUUAUACAUGUUAAGAUGAAAGAUUUUUCUCAACAAAAUAACGAGAUUUGGCUAUCAUCCUCCAUAAAUGCUAGAAAAUGAAUCAAAACAGACAGUGAUCGAAGCAUAUAAACUACCAGUCGUGAGGUACAAGUGGUAGCUGACACAAAGAGGCAGGCGAUGAAUUGGAAGUAGGUAGCAACUAACCACCCCCCAUGCGCUAUUAAUACCACAUGAGAAGAGAGGCGGGCCGCGACAUCUUCCUCUUCUUCUUGUGCUUGCACAACUCAGGGGAGGAGGAAAGGAGAAAGAUGGACGGGCAAGAGAAGAAGAUGAAGGUUCUCUGCCUCCAUGGCUUUCGAACCAGUGGGAGCUUCUUGCGCAAACAAAUCAGCAAGUGGGAUCCUUCCAUCUUCCACCACUUCCACUUGGUAUCUCUCUCUCUCUCUCUCUCGCUCUCUCUAGAAAGAAGUCUUGUUAACAUCAUCUUCUUCCACCUACAGGACUUUCCGGAUGGUAUAUAUCCAGCAGGAGGGAAGUCGGACAUAGAAGGCAUAUUUCCACCACCAUACUUUGAGUGGUUCCAAUUCAACAAGGUAAUGUCCUAAAUUAGGGCUUCAGUCGAUAACUCGAUCUCGGUGCGACAACAUCUCAUGAUAGCUUUGAUAUGUUGUUAUAUAGGAAUUUACAGAAUACAAGAAUUUCGAGGAGUGUAUCUCUUAUCUGUGUGACUACAUCACAAAGAAUGGCCCUUUCCAUGGAUUGCUUGGCUUCUCUCAGGUUUCGUGCAUCGUUGAUAAUGGAAUGCUAGUUCUGCAAGCUAACUUGGUUUGAUAGUAGAGUUAACGUAUUGCAGAGUGAUCCCUCUUCAUAAUAAAUAAUUAUGGUUUUUUAUUCAUUGUUAAAUUGGUGGUGAAUCUGUCCUGUUCAGCAUAUGCCUCAUUGUUAAAUUGGUAAUAUUUUUGUCUGAAUCAUAGAAAAUCCUUAUUUUGUUCAUUAGUUUUCUAAGCUGUUGGCAAUUUCUGAUAUUCAUUGAUAAUAAGAAGAAUUUCUGAUUGAAAACUUUGAAAUGAUUUUUUUUUUAUUAUUUGAUUAGAUAAUAGUUAACUUUUUAAGAACUUAUGAGUUGUUUCCAACUUUGAAUAGUUACGCUUUGCAUGUUCUUGAAUGCUGCAUUUACGGUUACCUCAUCAAUCAUGACUUGAUCGGAGUAGAUGUAAAGCUAUUUUUGAAUAAAUCCUGUGUUCUUAGAUCAUGCUCAGGUAGGUAUAGGAAGGGAUCUUGAGGUUUUGCUUUUUCAUCUCCUUCUUCCAAAUUAAUAGUCUUUACGAGAAAGACUCUCUCAUUCUUUCAACCCCAGCAAGUGGCUUGGCCAUGGUGAUCUGCAAGAGACUAAUGAUUUCUUUUCCUUUGUCACAGGGUGCAACACUAUCAGCACUUUUGAUAGGCUAUCAAGCUCAGGUAAGCCACUGUCUUUAAAAAAUAAAAGGAAAACAUAUCUGCUUUUUCCAUCUUUAUUAGUGUGUUCAAGCCAUAACCAUUCUGUAAAACACAAUUCUAUUUGAACUCAACAACUUAUGGUGUAAAACUAUGAACAUUGUAAAAGCAAGCUAGAAUGUGAUUGGUUACCAAAGCUGACUUGAUUUUAGAUCUGAAACAAAUACUUGCUCAAUAUAUAUCGCUAAUAGAAGCCUUAACACAAUACGUUUCCUAGUAUUAUCUUAUGUUAAUUGUCCAGAUUAAAUUAAUGUUUACCUUUAUCAUGUCUGGACAGGGGAAGGUACUGAAGGACCACCCACCAAUAAAAUUUUUGGUGUCAAUAUCAGGUAGCAAGUUCAGAGACCCAAGCAUAUGUGACAUUGCUUACAAGGACCCCAUCAAGGUGAAAUCUGUGCACUUUAUUGGAGAGAAAGAUUGGCUGAAACUGCCUUCUGAGGAGCUUGCUGCUGCCUUUGACAACCCUUUGAUUCUGAGGCAUCCCCAGGGCCACACUGUCCCUAGACUCGGUUGGUAUUUAUUACCUCUUUUUUUUUUCUUCCACUUGAACCAAAUGAUAACUUACAGCAUGAAUGGUACAAGAGUAAGAUGAUGGUAUACAGGAGUUAGUUCUUGCAUAAGGUAUGAAUUGCUUGAGAUUCUGCUGCAAGUUUACUAAGAUUGUGUUUGAGCUCAUCUUCGAUCAAAGAUAUCAAUAUUUUUUAGGAAUUUUCUUUUAUUAAAGUGCCCUCAACAUCAGAGUAAUAUCAGACGAUUUGUUAAAUCAACAGGUACAACACAGCAAACACAAAAAUUACAAGUUGAUAAUUUAGCAGUAAUUCAGAUGGAUUGAUGCAACACAAAUGCUCCAUGUGAAGAUAGCAUACAUUUUUAACCUCCAAAGGUCUUGGAUAAGAAAUUAGAUAUAAUAUCUAGAAACAAAAUUUACAUAAAAUGCUUUCUAGAUCCACUUGAACAAUAAUAGCAUAUAUAUGAGUUGGUGAACAGGAGAUAUAUGGUCCAUAUAUUACAUUCUGUGAAGCAAUUUGUAUUGUGUUGUUUCAUAUGAUUUGUUUGUCUUGUAUCAGAUGCAGUUCUCUGUACCACAAAAUUUUGAUGUGAGAAUUGAUAAUUGCUGACAGAUGAGGCAGCUGCGAAACAGCUAUCGGAAUGGACUGCAAGCAUUUCCAGAAGUGAAUUCCCCUGCGGUACUUCUGUUCCGAAGAAUGUUGAAUGUGAAAUGAACAACAUCAAGCAUGAAGCGAUAGCUGAUCCAAAAUGCAUCGAAGCUCCAAGUGCAGCUUAGGUUUCACCACAUGAACUGGUAAGUAAAAUAAAGAAAAGAACAUGGUAUGACAUGCAACUGUUGUUUCUUUCUUUGAACAGCUACAUGAACUUUGUAAUCCUUCCACAUGAUGCAUUUUGCUGAAUCCAGAGUUCCCUUAUCAGUCACAGAACACUACUCAAUGAUUGUUAUAUUCACGAAUGUCGAUUGCAUAUAUUUCCCAUCUGUUGUUGUUUCUUACAAACAUUAUCAGGAUUUAAUCUUUCUAUCAUUUCAGUCAUUAGUGACAGAUUCAUUUAAUUUAUUGUCUCAGUUAUUUAGGAAUAAUUAUAUGAAUAUUUUUAUCAUGAAGCCUUGUGCAAACAACCAUCUCCUAUUUAAGUUGACCAUGUAGAAAUCCUACUCCAUUGGAAUCUAAUUCGACUCAACCAGAGUUGACCCAUCCCCCUGGGCUCCACAAUUGCUGCCUCCAAUCCAAAUCCACCCAGUGGAUAGAUAUCAUGCAACACAAUAAUAAACCGAUAAAAGUUGCAUCAUUCUCACGUAAUUAGAACGUCAGCCAGCAUCCUUAAAGCACUCUGUGAUCAGAACUGCAGUGGGGUGUUUAGAUCAAGUCAACAUCUUUGACUUGGUCCUGUUAGCUUUUAGACCCUAUAGAACAGUCUUAGUGGCCCCCUGGUUUGGUGGUCAACAAAUUUGACUCGGGGGUCCAAUUUUGACCCCGAUUCCAGUGCACAAGCUGGUGAAGAGCUUUCCACCUCCGUAUGCAUAUGAAAUGUGAGAUCUUUGCCUUGCAAUUCUUUAUGCUCUUUGGUGGUCAUAUCAUAUGCAUCAUAUGCUACAUUCAAGAUGCAAUUGCAUGGAAGAUAUCAUGGAAGUUAGAACAGGAAACUGUGGCCUCGCUUCCACCAUUAGUGUACGAUCCCAUCAACACAAGUAAUACCACCACACAACACUUCCACCAAGUGUUUGAUGAAAUGAAAGGAUGAGAACCCAACAGUAGCAUCGACAAAGGAGCGUCCUUUACAUGACGCCCCACGAGUCGAGGGACGAAAAGGCCGGGAGCAGCCCGUCGAAGUCAGAAGCCGGCCCGAACGAGCUGCCCUCGUCGCGGUCCAGCAAGAACGCCGAGGUGUCGAGCGUGGGCAGGUGGGUCUGCUGCAGGACCGCCGGCCGCACCGGCUCUGGCUUCACCAGCGGCUCGGCCAGAUCCCCGUACAGCCGGACGCCGGUGACCCGCUGCACCAUCUCCCGGAAGUGGGCCGGGUCAGCGUUGAUGUAGGUGGUGGGCGCUCGCUUAGACGGGCGCGACCUCCGCUUCGAGAUCCUCCCCGCCGGGGUGGGCGCCAGCGGGUUCCGCCCGCGGACGGCGGCGACGUCUCCGAGAGGGGAAGUGACUUGGUAACGAGGGAGAAGGACGGGGGUGCGGGAGGUGGAGGUGGUGGCGGCGACGGAGGAGAGGGUGUCGUGGGAAGCUGAGGAGGAGGUGUCGGAGAGGGAGAUCUGGAGGGCUCGCGUGAGGGCCUCGUUGUCGCGGGCGAAGGCCUCGUUCAUCCACGCCGACUCCGUGCGGUGCAUCCACGGAUCGAGCACCGAGCAAUUCUCCGCCAUGCUCAUCGUCCGCUCGAUCUCUCUCUCGUCGGGCUCUCGACGGGCUUCUCAAAGAACUCGGAUAGUUUGGUAUGGGGGGUUUAAUAGGCGCGUCCGUCGGCCACGUGUCCUUCAAUCGUCCGCGUCGGGUGACGGCGUUUCGUGUCGGAGCGGUAGGGUUCAUAGUUUAUCUCCACCUUUAAACCUAUUUAGGAGGAGAAUCGUGACGUUGACCGUCAGGCCUCGUCGUCCGUGGGACCCACGCGCAGGUUCGUGAGUGCCGUCGAAAUUUUACGGUCCUGCCACCUUUCCGGAGACGGAACCGAUAGCCCCUAAACUUACCAUUAUUUACGACGCUGACCGGCGCGUGUUCGGGAAUCUGGUGAGAGGGUCGUCGGUGCAAUUAAUGGGCACGUGGAUGGUUGUUACGGGGAAAAGAGGAAUGGGGGAGAUAAGAGCGCGUCAGCAGUGACGUGGGAUCCGCUUGCGUCACGUCCAAGUGAGGAUGCCGUCUCGUAUGGCCAUUCGGAUGGACCAGAACCGUUUGAUCUGAUAGCUGACGGCUACGAUCUGUUGCUCCUCCCUCUCGUCUUGGCUGCCCAUGAAAUUGGCACAACGAACCAGAACCGUUUGAUCAGCUAGAUGACGGCUACGAUCUGCUGCCCGUGAAAUUGGUACAAUGGACCAAAGCCGUUUGAUCAGCCAGCUGACGGCUACGAUCUGUUUCUUCUCCCGCCCAUUACAAGCCUUCUCGCCUAAGCAUCUCAAGUAUCCAAGUCAAUCAAAUCCUCCAUCGAAUCUCCCACCAUCUUUGUUCUAUACUUGUGAUCUUGACCAUUAGAGAUCAUCUUUCACGGACAAAUACUAGUGGCAAUGUCACACUAAGAGGAUUAAAGAGCAAGUCACCUCCACAUUGAUUCUUCUUGUCCAUGGAUUAUUUAGAUGCAUGACUAUUGGUCCCAAAAUCUCGAAGAACUUCGUAAGUGCUUGCGAAAUAAUAGAUAAAAUUAUAUUUUAAAUAUAUAUUGAUAUAUGUAUUAUUUAAUAAAUUAUAAUUUAAAAGUUUAUUGAAUAUUUUAUGUAAUUUUACCCUUUUAAUAUUUUUAAUAUUUAUUAAAAAGUAAAUAUUUUUACUUUAAAUAAAUAAAUAAAAUGAAUGUAUGUAUGCAUUUAUGUAAUCUUAUAAAAACUUUCAUAUGGCCUAAAUAUAUAAUAAAUAAAAAUAUACAAUCACAUAAAUAAAUACAAAAGAAUUUUUAAAAAGAAAUAAAUAAAAUAUCAUCUUAUAAAAAAUAUAAAUCAUGUUAUUUUGUUGCUAAAUUAUUUUGAUAAUAUUAUAAUUUUAGAUAAAAUCAUAAGAUAUUUUUAAAUUUUAAAAAUUAUAUUAGCAUCCCACAAAUACUGAGAUGCUAAUAUUCCCACAAGUUUUGAACUAAAUAUUACCUAAAGGUAAUAUUAGAAUUUGAGUACCUCCAAUAUAAUAUUUGAACUAAAUAUAAUUUUUAAAAAAUAUCAAGUAUUGAUUCAUAUUUCAAAUAUACAUGGAGCCCUCCAUUUCCAAUGUGUUAUCAAACCCACUCUGGGCAUCUCUCUCCAUUGCUUUGAUGGCAGACAAAAUUGCAUUAAUUUGUUGACAUUUGGGUGUAGGAGUCAGUUGUUUUUCUUUCUGUUCUUGGGAGGCCUGUAUUUUUAAGUGUUGGACUUGAACAGCUACAGUAAGGUCCAAUGCAUGGCCUAUUACUAUGAACUAUGUCAGAGGGCUGGUGGCUGGGUAAUCUUGGAGUUUAAUAUAGACUUGAUCCUUUUGGAACCAUACAAGUUUCUUUGGAUCAUUGAUUAGUGAUUAUGCAAUCAACAUCUUUGGCAUGAUAUUAGAGAGGUCAUAUAUUUGAUUCUAUGUAGGUAAUUAAUUCCUACAAAAUGAUUCUCUCUUCAGGGAUUUUUUUUUUUUUUUCAGGAAGUGUUUUUCCAAAGAACAUCUCUUAAAAUAUCCCUAUGAUAAUUAUAAGACAACUAAAGCAUUAUCUAAAGUGUUUUUCCAAACCUUUUUUUCUUGUCCGUAACAAACCUUUCGUUCUAGUCAGGAGAUUAGUUCAGACCUCGGGCAAGGUAGGUCAGGUUGUUCAUUUCUUCUUCGUCGUGGCAACCUUGGGACAAAGGCGGAUUGUAGUCGCUCUUGUCUCGAUCUCUUGUGGGUUUCUUGCUCGAGACUAUUACAUCGAUGACAAUGUACUGGUUGGCUCUUUAAAGUACUUCGAGCAUAAUUGUUGUUGUCCUUUCUACCAAUGACUAAA